GUACUACAACCCCAAGGAUUACAGAUCCCAGGCACCAUCAAGUAACUCUAGCAAAGGACCUCAUUCAAGCUCAUUGCCUUUCCAGAGCUGCCGCACAGAAAAUGUUCGAUAUAAGUGAAGCCACGGAAGCCAAAGUUACAAGCGUUGUUGCUAAGUGGCUUCAACAAGCCAAAACCAGAUGUGAAAGAAGAAUUUUUUCAGAGGGAAAAAACCUACCACUGUGGACAAUGGGGAAGAGGUUCCACUCAGUGGGGAUGAAGAUCCAAAAAUAAAUUAUGAAUCUAAAAAGUGAUACAUUUGAAAAUAAAUGUAAAUGUAAAAUUUUAGCGUGCUUGGACUGUAGUCUAGGGAUCGUCACCUUAGUUA